rnacentral:lncRNA from 1 species
UGAAUGAUGGUAAAUCUUCAUGCCAUACCCUUUUUUAUUCUUUGAAAAUUCUGUAGCAUAAGGUUUGAUAAUAUUCACAUUCUAUACCAACUUCUCCCAGAUACGCCAACUCCCACACCCUGUUCUCUACUCAUCUAACUGUGUGUCCUCUUUUUAAAACACUUUAGUCAAGAAAAUGAUGAAUCAGAAAACAGUUGAAUAAAUUAAAAAAUAUAUUUGCAUGGCUUGUUUUAAUUUGUUACAUGAUUUUGAAGCUUUAGAUUUACUAGAAUCCUCAGUUAAAAAAUCAUCUCCAAACUUCCUAAAAUAAGAAUAAAGAGAAAUGCUCAUUACAACUAUGAAAUUAUCUAAAUCCAAAACUAUUUAUUCUGAAACACCUGAAUUCUACAAAAUUUUAAUAUAUUUUAUUUUCUUUUUUAUCAAUCAGUUCCCCCUAGUUUUCUUAUGGAUCAAAAGGUACAAAAUAAAUAUUAGGAAAAUUGGAAAUUAGAGAUAAGAAAGGAAACAAGAUGAUUUUUUUUUCUUUAAUCAGUUAUCAUUCCCUUUGCUUUACAGAGGAUGUUUAAUUUCAUGAGGUCCAGUUAUCAAAUGUUGGCCUUAAUUCAUAGUCAAAUGGAGCCCUAUUCUAAAAGGCCUUUUCUACAUCUGUACCUUGUGGUUGCUACGUAUUUUUAAUUUAGUUUUAGUGUUUGAGGUUUCACAUUUUGGUCUUUGAAGCAUUUAGAGUUAAUUCUUGUGCAAGGUUUGGAACUGGCUUCACUCUUCCGUCUGUGUAUACCCAGCUUCCCAGGAGCACGAGUUGGAGCCUUUAGAACUGGGAGCCCUGCUCCCUUCCAGCCUAUUCCCUCUAAGUUUUUACAUCGUGAGUGCUUGCUGGGCCUUUUCUGCAUCUGUUGAACUGAGCAUGUGAGUUUUGUCCCUAAGUUCAUUUAUAUGAUUUAUUAUACUUCGUGACUUAGAAUAUCAAAAUAUCCCUCCAUGUCUGGACAAAGCCAUCUUGGCCAUAGUAGAUAAUCUUUUUGAUGUAUGACUGUAUCUGGUUUGAGUAUCUUAUUGAAGGUUUUGGAUAUGUGUUCAUUGAGCUUAUAGGCUUGUUAUUUUCUCCUGUCUUCACCUGAGUUAGCAUUAUAGUAAUGCUGGCUUCAUAACAGGAGAUCUGAAGUUGCACCUUCUGUUUCUAUUUAUAAAUAAUUUAAGAAGUAUUGGCUGUGCAUCUUCCCUGAAAGGCUGAUUGAACUCUGUUGUAAUCUAGCUGAGAUAUGGCAUUUUAAGUCAGAAGACUUAGUUAAUGUUUCAGACACAAUGUUGGUUGUAGGUCUUUUUAGAUUCUUCUCUUCUUGGUUUAACUUUGGAAGUUUUGAUGAAUCUGGAAGUCCAUUUCUUUUGGACUUUUUUGGUUUGUUCUUUUUCCAGAUUCUUAAGUUGCAUUAUUAAGACAUUUAUUUGUGUUCUUUCUUGACUUCUUAAUGCAGUUAAAUAACUAAAAAUAUAAAUUUCCCCUACAGUACUGCUUUCAGUGUCCCAGAGAUUUUUUGGUUGGUAUUUUCAUUUUCAUGUAUUUCCAGGAUUUGGUUUCAAGUCUUUUUUAUUUCUUUGAUCCAUUCAUCAUUCAGUAAUAAAUCAUUAAAUCUUCAUAAGUAGGUACUAGACAUUUUUUUCUAUCUUUGCUGUAGAUCUUGAGUUAUUUUUCAUUGUGGUCAGGUAAGGCAUGUGGUAUCAUCUUAGCAUUUCUGACUUUGUGAAGCUCUGUGUGUAUGCUUGCUGCAGAUGUGACAUAUUUUACACAGUCAUCUAUGGGCUGAUGAGUGUAAGACAUUUUUUUUAAUUUAGGUGAACUAUUUUGCAGGUAAUCUGUUAAGUCAAUUUAAUGUUGAUGCCAUUUAAUUCUGAUGUUUCUCUAAUUUUUGUUCAGUGACCUGUCUAUUAGAAAAAGUGGUGUUAAUCUAAUCUCAUUGAGUUGUUGUUAUUCUUUCUUUAAUUUCAAUAAGUGUUUUUUAUGAAUAGGGUGCACCAGAACUUGGUGCAUAUAUGUUUAGGAUUGAAAUGUUCUGGUAGUUAAUUGUUUCCUCGAUUAGAAUGAAAUACUAGAUUGAAGGCUGUUUUGUCAAAUACUAGGAUAGCCACAGCACUUGUUUCCUGGUCUCAUUGUCUUGGAAUACUUUUUGCAGUCCUUUGACUUUAAGAUAGUGUAACUAUCUUUAAAGCGAAAUGAGGUUCUUAUAUAAACAGCAUAACGAUGUGUUUUCUAGUUCAUUAAGCCACCCUGUUUCUUUGGAUUGGAGAGCUGAAGUCUUUGACAAAGUUACUAUUAAAAGUUGUAUGCUUAUUGCUGUCAUUUCCUUCUUGUUUUGGUGGCUCUUUGUGUCUUGGUCAUGGGUUGUCUUUGGUAACUAUAGCUUUGUUUGUUUUCAUUCUACAGCAUUUUGCCUAUGCUUGUUCCUCUCGUUGUUCCAGUGGCUUCUUUAAGACUGUUUUAAUUGGCAUGAGUUCUUUUAACCUGUUGGUUUUUCUUUCUUGUUGAACUUUGGUAGAUAAGUUUUCCAGAUAAAGUAGCCUAGGUUAGCAUCUGUCACCUUAUCUGUCACCUUAUGGUGCUUCAGACUUUUCUGAAUGUGACUGUUUGUUCUGAGAAGUCAGCUGCUAUUCUGAUGCUUUUCUGUUCAUGUAUGACUUAAUGCUUAUUCCCUCACAGCUUUCAGUACCCCUGUCUUGUUCUCUAUCUUUUUAAGCUAUGACAUGAUGUAGGGAGUUCAUUUUUGAUCUUGUCUGUUUGGUGAUAUGUGUCUUUCUCGUAUCUGAGUGGUUGCCUUUCCUUACUUUGUGGAAGUUUUCCUUUAUGAUCUUUUUUGAAGUCUAGUCUUUAUCAUUUACUGGGGAUUCUUCUUCAUUUAUACAAUAGUGUGAAGAUUUGGUGUUUUUGUAGUUGCUUACAGCUUCUGUAUUUUCUCUGUGUGUGUGUGUGUCUGUCUGUCUGUCUGUCUGUCUGUCUCUCUGUCUUUUUCUUUGUCUCCUCUGUCUCUGUGUCUCUCUCCACCAACUGUGUGUGUAUAUGAUUGUUUUCAUAUAAUUUGCCUUCGUGGUCUAAUUCUUCUUGAAGGCUUUCUCCUCCAUGUUCGUACUAGCUAUUGAGAAUUCCCUUCAGUAUGCUUGUCUCUUUAUCAUAUUUGGUUUUUACAUCCUGUAUUGUCUCUAUUAAUUCCGUCAGUCUCCUUUAUGUGGGUUUUUUGGAUGAGAUAAGGCAUUUAUUCUCUAAGUUUUUGCGAUCUCUGAAUAUAUACUACUAAGUAUAUAUUCUUACCCGUGUCUUCAUGCCAUGUGAGAGUGCUAUGGGAUAUCUAAUAUGGAGGUACCUAUGAUUUGACGUAUCCUAGAGAGGGAGAGGGGAUGAGAGAUCUUGAUCCUUGUUAUGGAGCCCAGGGGCAACCAGAUUGGGAUAGUUGUACCAGAGAGAUCAGAUAGGUUACCUAUAUCUUCCUGCCACCUGGGUGGGCUGGAGGACUCUGAAUGUUGUGAAGUAUGAUCAUGCAAGGAAGGAGAGCUAGGAGGACGUCAGGGUCCCCAGCCAGUCCCUACACUGUGAAUGGACUGAUUAUUUGUUCACUUGGGAUGAAAUUAUUUAGGCUUUUUGUUUACUUUCCACUAAUCUUUCUUUCUGCUAUAUAUUUGAUAGAACCUGGGCCGAGGAAAAUAAACUUGUUUGCUUUGGCACCCUUUGAUACUUUUUUAAAAAAUAAAGAAAGCUUUAAUGUCCGAAAUGAGGUUUGAAUUGCUAUAUAGACUUUAUUCAUGUCUUGCUCAAAGUACAAUGAACUCUUUAUUGAAACUUCAAGUUUAUCUCUUGUUUUAAUCAGUGUGACUUUGAUGGCAACUUUUAGAACACCUUAUUUCAUUGGUUCUCAAAUUGUGGGUCUCAACUCUUUUGCCACGGUUGCAUAUCAGAUAUUUUCAUUGUGAUUCAUAACAGGACCAAAAAUACAGUUAAUGAAGUAGCAUUGAAAAUAAUUUUAUGGCUGGAGAUCACUACAACAUGAGGAACAAUUUUAUAUCAAUCCUCAACUAAUUCUUAAAUUAUUCUCACAAACCCAAAAAUAGAAAUAGAAUUUUUUUAGAUAUCUUUUGUAAAGUCAUUCUUAUUCUAUAACUAAAACUAGGUAAAGACACAAGGACAAUAACAACAACAAAAAGGAGGCUAUAAGUCAGUAUCUGUAGUAAACAAUAGAAUACUAAGAAAAACAAAACAAAUUCAGGAACAUACUAAACAUAUCAUCCUCUACAUCAAAUUGGCUUUAUCCCUGAGAAACUGAGCUAGUUCCACAGCCAUGAUAUGACCAAAUUCAUCAUGGUAAUUGGCUUAAAGAAGAAAGCCAGAUGGUCUUCUCAUCAGAUGCGGAAAAGAUCUGUGAUAAUUCCACCAUGACUUCAAAGUAAACAUUGUAGCAAGACUGGAACUAGAGAGGAUGUAGUUCAAGAUAAUAAAAGUUAUAUAUUGAAAACCUAGAACCAGUGUCAUCCAAAUAU